UAGCAGACAGUGUCAGGCCCAGCUGGACACAAGGAGCAGGCAGUACCUUCCUUAUUUGGAGUAGACAGACAAGUCCAGGAGCUCCUUGACCCUGAAAUUCACAUCAUUCUUUUGUAAAUGCAGUCCUGUUUCUGAGGAGGCAUCCCGUCCGGUUGCUUGUAGAGACCUUUUAAAGUUGACAGCUCUUGGGUUCAGCCUCUGUUUUCCAACCUUGACACAGAAGACAUAGUGGCUCUCCUUCUGGAACAAUCUCUCACCGCCACCGCCAUCCCCUCUCCUCUGCUCCCAGCUGGCAGACAUCCAUGCCAUGAUUGUUUAUGUAACAGCCAUCACGGGCCUGGGAACAGCAUCACAAGGAGAAACUCCAUGACAACCAACCACUCGCAUUUGGGUCAUCGAAGAUAUGGACCACGGAGGACUUUCUGUGACACGUUCACCCUCUUACUCAUUUGUGGAGCCCACAGUUUGAUCAGCCUGGGAACUGGGUCUUGAAUGGAAGACCAGGGCACUUGUGGUGGCUUUGUUAUCAGAGUCUGCUUUUGCAUAGGGAUGCUCCACGCCAGGUUACCUUUGCCUGAACUCCACCAGAAGUGAAAAAAAAAAAACCCCACCA